AUUGAACGCUGGCGGCAUGCCUUACACAUGCAAGUCGAACGGUAACAGGUCUUCGGAUGCUGACGAGUGGCGAACGGGUGAGUAAUACAUCGGAACGUGCCUAGUAGUGGGGGAUAACUACUCGAAAGAGUGGCUAAUACCGCAUGAGAUCUACGGAUGAAAGCAGGGGAUCGCAAGACCUUGUGCUACUAGAGCGGCCGAUGGCAGAGUAGGUAGUUGGUGGGAUAAAAGCUUACCAAGCCGACGAUCUGUAGCUGGACUGAGAGGACGAUCAGCCAGACUGGGACUGAGACACGGCCCAGACUCCUACGGGAGGCAGCAGUGGGGAAUUUUGGACAAUGGGCGCAAGCCUGAUCCAGCAAUGCCGCGUGCAGGAUGAAGGCCUUCGGGUUGUAAACUGCUUUUGUACGGAACGAAAAGCCCUGGGUUAAUACCCUGGGGUCAUGACGGUACCGUAAGAAUAAGCACCGGCUAACUACGUGCCAGCCGCCGCGGUAAGAC
rnacentral:rRNA from 1 species